rnacentral:rRNA from 1 species
GACAGAGGGUGCAAACGUUGUUCGGAAUUACUGGGCGUAAAGCGCGUGUAGGCGGCUUUGCAAGUCGGGCGUGAAAUCCCACGGCUCAACCGUGGAAGUGCACUCGAAACUGCAGAGCUAGAGCCUGGAGAGGAAGGUGGAAUGCUUGGUGUAGAGGUGAAAUUCGUAGAUAUCAAGCGGAACACCGGUGGCGAAGGCGGCCUCUGGACAGUGACUGACGCUGAGACGGCGAAA